GUGUCAGCAGCCGCGGUAAGACGUAGGGUCCAAGCGUUGUCCGGAUUUACUGGGCGUAAAGAGCGCGUAGGCGGUCUGUUAAGUGUAGAGUGAAAUCUCCAGGGCUCAACCCGGAAACUGCUCUGCAUACUGGCAGACUGGAGUGAUGCAGAGGUUUGUGGAAUUCCUGGUGUAACGGUGAAAUGUGUUGAUAUCAGGAGGAACACCCAUGGCGAAGGCAGCAAACUGGGCAUUAACUGACGCUGAGGCGCGAAAGCGUGGGUAGCAAACAGGAUUAGAUACCCCCGUAGUCC
rnacentral:rRNA from 1 species